rnacentral:tRNA from 1 species
GUUUCUGUAGUGUAGUGGUUAUCGCGUUCGCUUAACCCGCGAAAGGUCCUCGGUUCGAAACUGGGCGGAAACA